GCGGCCACGACAGGGCGGGGCCGGGGGCGGAGCUGGCACCCUAGUCCGGCACCGCCCCCGCGGCCCAAGCACCGCCUCCAACCCGCCCUCCCACUUCCUGCCCCGGGGCUGCCAGCGAAAGUUGAGGAGGGCGGGGCUGUAGCUCUGGCUCUGGGCGGGCGACUUUCCCUUAGGUGCACGUGGACCCAGGCCGGCUGUCUCUCCUGCAGAGUGUGAAGCCACUGCACCUCGGUGGAGACUAGAAGGUGACACCUGUAACGCGGGGCACUCUUGCAUGGCCCUCUGCAAAGACAAGACAGACCCGGGCAUGCCUAUCCGGCUGGGCUACACAUUCAUGCCCCUAUGGCUCCAUCAAUCUGGUUCGUGGGCUCAGGUCUUUCAGAGUUCCCUUCCAGUCCUCUGUCCUUGCCAAGAUCCGCAGGACACCCCGCCCCCCGAAGAGGGAGAGAGAGAAAAAUCCUUCACCUAGGGUCACAGGCAAGCCCGUAGAUUCCCUGGUGAGAGGGGCUGGAGAGAUCGACAGUGUAAUGUCCUGAGCACCUUGUGACAGUGGAAGGGACUUCAAAAGCAUAGAUAGCUGAUUUUGCAAUUGAAAUUACUUUGCUCUGGACUCAUCUAUCAGGAGCCGUGGGUUCUUGGUAAAGGGAACCCCACAAAGCCAAGCCUUCUCUGAGACGGGUGUCAUGGAAGGCAGCUGGGAUAAAGGGGAGUGACCAGUCCACAAGAGCCUCCUGACUCGAUCUUUUGUGGGCUAGGCAUCAUUGUGUCAGCCCCUGCGUCUCCCUCAGUUACCCGGCCCAGGGCAGGAGGACAAACCCCCCCAUCUUGAUGCACACACAAAGCCUGUCACCUGCAACCAGGGAAGGCCUUCCUAGAAUAGCGUCUGCAGGAUGUCAGUUUACCCCUUCCCCACCUAAGGAGGAAGCAUGAAACCUAAUCCUAGAGGUCAAGAGAGGAGACAGAUGAAGCCAGGCUGAACAACAGGUAAGCCUGCAACUCCUGCCGAGGUACUACUUCACCUCUGAAUAGUCUCAGCCAAAGCCCAGGCCACAGGCAGACAGACCUAAGAGUCAUUCAAUACCCUACACCACAGGGGAAAAAAAGAAGAAAGAAAGAAAGAAAGAAAGAAAGAAAGAAAGAAAGAAAGAAAGAAAGAAAGAAAGAAAGGCAUUGCAAAGCUGAAAACAGAGCACCCUGCUAAUCCCGCUCCACUCAUACCUGGGUGUCUGCAUCCAGGGAGCUCUUUUACGAAAAAGAGGCCUCUGCACUCCAUGCCCUCAACCUUCCAGCCUCAUUAGGAAGCUAACCAUGACCAGACUAGGUCUGGGACAUAGACUAAUCUGACAUCAGUCAGGCGUUCAUCUGCUGCCCCCUGGUGGUCUUGAGGGCAGUGGCAGCUGACAUCCCAGAUGCCCCAGGAGAGGGAACUGUAGUACAGAUCGGAGUUAGCCUGUCUUCCAAAUCAGAAGAUCUAGGCCUCUUAGCACCGGUGGCCCUGCACCAAUCGUGUCUGUCUCUCUGGUACCCACCUCCUUAUCUGAAUAGUGAGGACAUUCAGUUGUCCUAUAUACGUGGUGGGGACCUUGGGAAACUGCAGAGAAAUAAUAGGGAUGAAUGAAGAAAAAAACUGAGUGGAAAGUAUUCCAGAUGUCUGCUGUGUGUGCGUAGGUCGGAUUGCAUGGGCUCAAGCAAACAAGCAGAGUACUGAUAAAUGGGAUACUUUCACUUCAACAUUCUUCCCCACCCAUUCUCUCAGCCCCAGCACUGAUCGCCAGGACUGCCCUCUGAACAUGUCCAGGAAGCAAGAGUACCUCCCUACUUUGGAGAUGAGCUCCACUGAAAGCCACUUAUGCUGAAUACCAGUGAUCAGCUCUGAGCUGGUCCACUACAGCAGCAUCCCUGAUGGACUCCAGUGUUAAUUCUCGCAUGUCUGAUCUGCCAGCAAGUCCGAGAACCCCAUUCGCAUUCUGAGCACUCCUAGCUCCACCAUCGCCAAGGUUCCUCAGCAGCCUGCUUCUACCUCAGCCUUCAGUCUGCUCUUCACAGCCAGCAAAGACCUAGCCGAACCUAGAUGCAACCCUGUCGCUCUCCCACCCCCAAAGCAAGCCGUUUGUGGAACUCAGCUCCUAGCAGGUAACUUAGGCCUGGGGUUCUUUGAAAGAACACUGUUUGGCAUGCAUGAGGCUCCAGGCUCCAUUUCUAGCCCUUAAAGCAGCAGUUCUCUACCUGUGGGUCAUGAUCUCUUGGGUAGUCAAAAGACCCUUUCGCAAGAGUCUCCUAAGACCAUCAGAGAAUACAGAUAUUUACAUUGCUGUUCAUAACAGCAAAAUUACAGUUAUGAAGUAGCAACAAAAGUAAUGUUAUGGUUGGGGGUCACCACAACCCAAGGAACUGUAUUAAAGGAUGGCAGCAUUAGAAAGGUUGAGAACCACUGCCUUAAAGGAAAUGAAAAAAUAAAGAAUGACAGAAUCUCCCCAAGCAAACCUCCUUUGGCACAGCUUCCUUCCCUGGCUGCAUAUUCUAUGCCCCUCCUCUAUGCCCUUCCAUCAAAGAGGGACAUGACCAAGGUCUGGCUAGUAGAGAAGGGAUUUGAACCAGGAUCUCAACAUGGAGUCAGUUUUCUCUAGUGCUCCCAGCAUAGCUGUUUGCGUUUACUCUAGGCUGACCUUCAACACAAGAGAAGUCAUGGAACUCAGUCUGUCUCUGCCCUCCCAGGAUUCUGCAGUGGGUGCCCCUCAUACGCUCAGACACUGCUCACUGGGUAGUCCAGGGUCAGUGUUUGACUAGAACUCAAGUGCCUCUAAGCACACAUUGCUUUGCAUGACACCUGCCUCAGUGGAAGGAAGCUUCUACAGACACUGGAACAUCCAAGGAACUGGACCUCCACAGCCAGUCCAGCCAUAGUUCUCAGCCCAUGCUUCCCCAACAAAGACUCAGACACACUGCCCGGUCUCCAUACCUUUCAUCAAAAAGACCACCACCGACAGGCUCUUCCCUACCACCAAGUUUCCCAUCCAAAGGAAUACCACCAUUGGCCUCCCUUUUUUCUACCACCUGACCUUCCAUUGGCUUCCCUCCAGCUCUGGACCCUCUUUUUACAUCUCUUUCCUGCUCCUUUCUUUGGGGGGGGUUUCGAGACAGGGUUUCUCUGUGGCUUUGGAGGCUGUCCUGGAACUCACUCUGUAGACCAGGCUGGCCUCGAACUCACAGAGAUCCACCUGCCUCUGCCUCCCAAGUGCUGGGAUUAAAGGCGUGCGCCACCAACGCCUGGCCCUCUUUCCUGCUCCUUGAACUCAGCCACCCAGCCCUCUGUCCAGUACACUUUAAUCUACUUAGCCCUUCAUUCCUCCGCCCAGCCCUCCCAUGAUCCUCUGCCCAUUUCCUUUCUUUUCUUUUUUAUUCUUCAAGACAGGGUUUCUCUGUGUAGCUUUGUAGACCAGACUGGCCUCGAACUCACAUAGAUCUACCUGCCUCUGCCUCCCGAGUGCUGGAAUUAGAGGCAUGCACCACCAUGGCCCAGCUACUGCCCAUUACUCUUACAUGGAUCAAGCCAGCCUCCCACUGUCCAUCAUUAUCUGCCCCACUCCUAUCAACCCGCCUAUACCUGCAUCUACCCACCCACCACACCCAUAUCCCUCCAAUAGACAAUACUAAUUCAGUGCUGGCUUUCUAACUCAGUGCUGGCUUUGUUCCCGGAGAAGGGGAAGUGGAUGUUUUGACCGGGUGAGGGGUUUAUUCUCACAUCCAACCCACAUGAACACACAUUUUUGCGAAUUCCGUUUGGAGCUCCAUCAGGCAAAUUCAGCUGUCACAAUUUCCCAGGAAAUUAUAGGUGUAGGAAAAGACCAUCUGGCCAGCCAUGGAGAUGGAGCACGCCUUGCUGGAUGGUGGGUGUGGGCCUUCCGCAUAUUUCCUUUGAAAAGGCAAAAUGUAGACUAUUACUGAUAGUUGCUUCAAUUUCAAAAUGAAGCCAAAUGCCACAGUCUAGGGAUUGACCCCUACACUGAGGUCUCUGAAAUCUUGCUGUUGACACAGCCACAGCUUGGACACCAGCCAGUGACUAUGCAAAACAUAAAGACGGCUCCCCGGGCCUGUCUUGAAGCUGUAGUUGCAGGCGGAGUUUAAGUAGCUCCUGGAAAGACCCUGUGUUUCAGGGCAGGUGAGCAUAGUCUUAAGAGAGUACAGAGUCCAGACACAGGUCAGCUGUCCAUAAGAGACUGAGAGGCAGCACUGGGGGAGGGGACGCUGCUUUCCACAGGGGCCCUCACCACAGAGCCGCAAGCCACCUGGAUGCUAAAUAGAUGGAGAGGGUCCAGUCAGAGAAAGCCAAGCUUCAUUUGGCUGCAUGUGAAUAAUGGACGUGGCCUGGCGGGUGUUGGGGGGUGAUGCCAGAGUCCCCACAGGACGAAGCAUGUUCUGGGUCUCAGUUGACCACACACUGACUUCUAGAAGUGCUGGGUCUUAGUAGAACAAGUUGGUACCCACAGUGUGAGUCACACAGACAGGGAAAACCUGACUGUGCUUCCCCCCGACCCUCACCAGAGCCAGAAACUCUCCUUCAACUCCAGAGGAGGUAUCCCUCUCCGGGGUCCUUCCGACUGUCCUCCAGACAUACCACCUUGAAGUCAGUAUAGCCGAGGGAAUGUGCAGACCACACCUGCUCCAACACCUCCCUGAUAGGACACAACACAAAUGUCCCAACCCUGAAGCAUUUGUCACCCAACUGUAACCCCCAGCAGCUCUGGCAACCCACCCUCAGCUCCGGCAACCACUUUUUAAUCUGCUUUGAGUGUAUCUACCAAGGACGCUUUGUGUCAUUGGAAUCGCACUGAUCAUGACCUUUCAAGCCUGGCUUUUCCUCCUUGACUAUGCCUGAGGUUCCCUCGUGUUCUUUGCUUAGCGAGGUCUGUAUCCCUUUCUAUGGUCGACCAGUAAGUAAUUCAUUGUGAGCAGAAUCAGUCUUAAUGAGACACUGUUUAAUGCGACAUGUCUGAGGCAUUGUCAUUUUGAUACCUGAUCAACAUUAAAACUUACUAACGA